GCCAGCAGUAUAAAUGACGACUGCUAUCCAUAUGCUUAGCAUUACACAAUAUCGUAUCCAGUUCCACGGACAUCUCUGCGAAUUGCUGCAAAACCAGACAAGGUAUAUUGAUCAUCAGGUUAAUAGAUCCCCAAACAAGUACCGCCAGCUAUGAGAUACGCCCUCUUUGCUGUGGUUGUUAUUGUCGGUGUCCUGUUGGUGGAACACGUCAAUGGCCUCGUCUGUCCAAAGUGUUCCCUCAAAAGUUGUGCAAAGGAUAGAGGAUGCGCAACAAAGUAUUUGAUAAAGGACAGGUGUAAAUGCUGCGAUGUAUGUCCCAUUAAAAAAGGAAAACCCUGCUCUGGAUUUACACCAAAGUGCGAACCUCGUCUCUGGUGCAUCAAACGACAGGAGAAGUGUGCCGAGGCAAGGAGAAACUUGGUCUACGGCGACACCUUCCAAGGCGUUUGUGGGAUAAUGCUUUUUUAGUUAAUCUGCCUCGUAAAGUGCCACACAGUGAUUGGAUUAUAUGACAUACGCGACUGAUUAACCAAACAGCAAGCUGCGCCUUUAAUAUUGAACUUUGACAAUAAACACAAAUUAGAAGUG